rnacentral:rRNA from 1 species
UUAUAUACAACCUCAACUCAUAUGGGACUACCCCCUGAAUUUAAGCAUAUUAAUUAGGGGAGGAAAAGAAACUAACAAGGAUUUUCUUAGUAGCGGCGAGCGAAAAGAAAACAGUUCAGCACUAAGUCACUUUGUCUAUAUGGCAAAUGUGAGAUGCAGUGUAUGGAGCGUCAAUAUUCUAGUAUGAGAAAUUAACGAUUUAAGUCCUUCUUAAAUGAGGCCAUUUACCCAUAGAGGGUGCCAGGCCCGUAUAACGUUAAUGAUUACUAGAUGAUGUUUCCAAAGAGUCGUGUUGCUUGAUAGUGCAGCACUAAGUGGGUGGUAAACUCCAUCUAAAACUAAAUAUAACCAUGAGACCGAUAGUAAACAAGUACCGUGAGGGAAAGUUGAAAAGAACUCUGAAUAGAGAGUUAAACAGUACGUGAAACUGCUUAGAGGUUAAGCCCGAUGAACCUGAAUAUCCGUUAUGGAAAAUUCAUCAUUAAAAUUGUAAUAUUUAAAUAAUAUUAUGAGAAUAGUGUGCAUUUUUUCCAUAUAAGGACAUUGUAAUCUAUUAGCAUAUACCAAAUUUAUCAUAAAAUAUAACUUAUAGUUUAUUCCAAUUAAAUUGCUUGCAUUUUAACACAGAAUAAAUGUUAUUAAUUUGAUAAAGUGCUGAUAGAUUUAUAUGAUUACAGUGCGUUAAUUUUUCGGAAUUAUAUAAUGGCAUAAUUAUCAUUGAUUUUUGUGUUUAUUAUAUGCACUUGUAUGAUUAACAAUGCGAAAGAUUCAGGAUACCUUCGGGACCCGUCUUGAAACACGGACCAAGGAGUCUAACAUAUGUGCAAGUUAUUGGGAUAUAAACCUAAUAGCGUAAUUAACUUGACUAAUAAUGGGAUUAGUUUUUUAGCUAUUUAUAGCUAAUUAACACAAUCCCGGGGCGUUCUAUAUAGUUAUGUAUAAUGUAUAUUUAUAUUAUUUAUGCCUCUAACUGGAACGUACCUUGAGCAUAUAUGCUGUGACCCGAAAGAUGGUGAACUAUACUUGAUCAGGUUGAAGUCAGGGGAAACCCUGAUGGAAGACCGAAACAGUUCUGACGUGCAAAUCGAUUGUCAGAAUUGAGUAUAGGGGCGAAAGACCAAUCGAACCAUCUAGUAGCUGGUUCCUUCCGAAGUUUCCCUCAGGAUAGCUGGUGCAUUUUAAUAUUAUAUAAAAUAAUCUUAUCUGGUAAAGCGAAUGAUUAGAGGCCUUAGGGUCGAAACGAUCUUAACCUAUUCUCAAACUUUAAAUGGGUAAGAACCUUAACUUUCUUGAUAUGAAGAUCAAGGUUAUGAUAUAAAUGUCCCAGUGGGCCACUUUUGGUAAGCAGAACUGGCGCUGUGGGAUGAACCAAACGUAAUGUUACGGUGCCCAAAUUAACAACUCAUGCAGAUACCAUGAAAGGCGUUGGUUGCUUAAAACAGCAGGACGGUGAUCAUGGAAGUCGAAAUCCGCUAAGGAGUGUGUAACAACUCACCUGCCGAAGCAACUAGCCCUUAAAAUGGAUGGCGCUUAAGUUGUAUACCUAUACAUUACCGCUAAAGUAGAUGAUUUAUAUUACUUGUGAUAUAAAUUUUGAAACUUUAGUGAGUAGGAAGGUACAAUGGUAUGCGUAGAAGUGUUUGGCGUAAGCCUGCAUGGAGCUGCCAUUGGUACAGAUCUUGGUGGAUAGUAGCAAAUAAUCGAAUGAGAGCCUUGGAGGACUGAAGUGGAGAAGGGUUUCGUGUGAACAGUGGUUGAUCACGAGUUAGUCGGUCCUAAGUUCAAGGCGAAAGCCGAAAAUUUUCAAGUAAAACAAAAAUGCCUAACUAUAUAAACAAAGCGAAUUAUAAUACACUUGAAUAAUUUUGAACGAAAGGGAAUACGGUUCCAAUUCCGUAACCUGUUGAGUAUCCGUUUGUUAUUAAAUAUGGGCCUCGUGCUCAUCCUGGCAACAGGAACGACCAUAAAGAAGCCGUCGAGAGAUAUCGGAAGAGUUUUCUUUUCUGUUUUAUAGCCGUACUACCAUGGAAGUCUUUCGCAGAGAGAUAUGGUAGAUGGGCUAGAAGAGCAUGACAUAUACUGUUGUGUCGAUAUUUUCUCCUCGGACCUUGAAAAUUUAUGGUGGGGACACGCAAACUUCUCAACAGGCCGUACCAAUAUCCCGCAGCUGGUCUCCAAGGUGAAGAGUCUCUAGUCGAUAGAAUAAUGUAGGUAAGGGAAGUCGGCAAAUUAGAUCCGUAACUUCGGGAUAAGGAUUGGCUCUGAAGAUUGAGAUAGUCGGCCUUGAUUGGGAAACAAUAACAUGGUUUAUGUGCUCGUUCUGGGUAAAUAGAGUUUCUAGCAUUUAUGUUAGUUACUUGUUCCCCGGAUAGUUUAGUUACGUAGCCAAUUGUGGAACUUUCUUGCUAAAAUUUUUAAGAAUACUAUUUGGGUUAAACCAAUUAGUUCUUAUUAAUUAUAACGAUUAUCAAUUAACAAUCAAUUCAGAACUGGCACGGAC